rnacentral:rRNA from 1 species
GACGGAGGGUGCAAGCGUUGUUCGGAAUUACUGGGCGUAAAGGGUGCGUAGGCGGCGCGGUAAGUCGGGUGUGAAAUCUCGGAGCUUAACUCCGAAACUGCAUUCGAUACUGCCGUGCUUGAGGACUGGAGAGGAGACUGGAAUUCAUGGUGUAGCAGUGAAAUGCGUAGAGAUCAUGAGGAAGACCAGUGGCGAAGGCGGGUCUCUGGACAGUUCCUGACACUGAGGCACGAAGGCCCAGGGGAGCAAAACGGGG